UAAGGGUUAGUUUAAUGUUAGAAUUGUUGACUGUUAAUCAAAAGGUGGGUACUCUUAA
rnacentral:tRNA from 1 species